rnacentral:rRNA from 1 species
GACGAACGCUGGCGGCGUGCUUAACACAUGCAAGUCGAACGGAAAGGCCCUGCUUUUGUGGGGUGCUCGAGUGGCGAACGGGUGAGUAACACGUGAGUAACCUGCCCUUGACUUUGGGAUAACUUCAGGAAACUGGGGCUAAUACCGGAUAGGAGCUCCUGCUGCAUGGUGGGGGUUGGAAAGUUUCGGCGGUUGGGGAUGGACUCGCGGCUUAUCAGCUUGUUGGUGGGGUAGUGGCUUACCAAGGCUUUGACGGGUAGCCGGCCUGAGAGGGUGACCGGCCACAUUGGGACUGAGAUACGGCCCAGACUCCUACGGGAGGCAGCAGUGGGGAAUAUUGCACAAUGGGCGGAAGCCUGAUGCAGAAACGCCGCGUGCGGGAUGACGGCCUUCGGGUUGUAAACCGCUUUCGCCUGUGACGAAGCGUGAGUGACGGUAAUGGUAAAGAAGCACCGGCUAACUACGUG